GGCUUUUUGCCAGAACAUGCUGGUGUUUUGUGCCAAACUGAACAAUGAACUGAGACUAAGAUAUAAAGUCACGAUGUAGAGGUGCCGGUGUUGGACUGGGGUGAACAAAACCAGAAGUCACACGACUCCAGAUUCUGGUCCAGCGGGUUUAUUUGAAAUCACAAAUAAUUGAUUUCAAAUAAACCUGUUGGACCAUAAUCUGGUGUCGUGGGAUUUCUGAAGUGAAAGCAAGGCACUGGCUAGCUAUUUCGUCCCACUUUAACACCGACGUGUCUUUCACGAACAUCUGGAGACUUGAGUGCAAAUUAGUCUCUUUCUUCUUGGAGCCUUAUUCUGUUGCCAGUUUUGUAUUGGUGGUGCUACAGUCGAGUUUACGCCAUGAGCUAUGAAUAUUCUCACAAUUCUGUUGUAUAGCAUUGUAUCCGACACCUUUUGGAAGUCUGCAUACACAACAUCAACAACACUGCCCUCAUCAACUCUCCAGUAUAUCUUCUAAAAACUCCAGCAUGUUGGUUAAAUGCUAUUUUCCAUUAAGAAAUAAAUGCUGGUUCUUAAUUAAGAUUUGGAGAGGUCGUUGUUGGACUGGGGUGUGGACACUCUACUGCAAACCCACAGACAACCUCACGAUGCUACACUUCUCCAGCUUCCACCCAAAACAUAUUAAAACAGCCAUCCCCAAUGGACAAGCCCUAUGCGUACACCAGAUCUGCUCAGAUGAGGAGAAACGUGACGGGCAUCUGGAAGUACUCAGGGAUGCCCUCAUAAGAACAGGGUAUGUUGAUCAACUCAUCGACCGCCAGUUCCAACAUGCCUCAGCAAGGAACCGUAAUGACCUCCUCAGGAGACAGACACGUGCUGCAACUGACAAGGUACCCUUCGUUGUCCAGUACUUCCCUGGAGCUGUAAAACUACGCCAUGUUCUUCGUGACCCGCAACACAUUAUCAAUGAGGAUGAGCACCUCACCAAGACCUUCCCCACACCUCCACUGCUUGCCUUUAAACAACCGCCAAACCUCAAACAGAUCAACGUUCAUAGCAAACUGCCCGGAUCUCAGGACAACUCCAUACAACCCUGUCACAGGAGGUAGUGCAAGUCGUGUCAGAGUGUGGACAUAGAUACUGCCAUUACACGUGGGAACACCUCCCACCAUGUACAUGGCAGCUACUCAUGUGACUCAGCCAACAUUGUCAAUCUUAUACGUUGCAGGCAAGGAUGCCCGGAGGCAUGGUACAUUGGGGAAACCGAGCAAAGGCUAUGAUAAUGGAUGAAUGGGCACCACACAACAAUCAACAUACAGGAGUGUUCCCUCCCAGUUGUGGAACACUUCAGUGGUCCAGGACAUUCGCCCUCUGACCUUCAGGUGACCAUCCUCCAAUUCGGACUUCGGGACAGGCAGCAGCGAAAUGUGGCCGAUCAGAGACUGAUAGCUAAGUUCGGUACCCAUAGGGAGGGCCUCAUAAGGGACCUUGGGUCCAUGUUACACUACAGGUGACCACCAUUGCACUAUACACACACAUAAACACUCUCUCUCACCUGCACACGCGCGCGCACACACACACACACUCCUACACACACACAUACACACGUAUACACAGACACGCACACAGACACUCACAUUCCCGUGCUCACACAUGCAUCCUCUCACAGACUUAGACCACUCUACACUCACGCACACACAUAUGUACACUCUCACAGACACUCACAAACCCCCACCCCAGACGCAUACAUACACUCCUGCAGACACACACACUCCCACACUCACAGACUUAGACACUCUACACUCACAUAUACACUCUCUCUCACACUCACAACCCACCACCACAGACAGACAGACAGACACACACACACACACACAAAUAUAUGUACAUAUACGUUUGUGGGGUGAAUUUGUACUUGCAGAGUUAUAUUGUACUUUGCUCAAAAACUGCAUGAAUUCAUGUAAGACUCUGUUAACUCAGUUUUUAAGAUUAGAAUCAGUCUAAAUAUUAUGGCACAGGCAGAGAACACAGGAGGCUAGCACCUUCUACAUUAUCUGGCUAACAUCAAUUAUUACAGUUAACCUGAGAAUGUAACUUUUUAAAAAAAGUUUUGUGAUUUACAUAUGAAAGAAGUGAAACUAUCAUGGUAUUCGAACAGAUGAAAAACUCAACAAACAAUCAAGGUAUUUUCCAAUGUAUAAUUUCAGUUACAUCACACUGUAAACUUUUGCUAUAAAUUCUGUGUCUUACAAUGGUGUACUCCACUACCACCUGAUGAAGGAGCAGCGCUCCGAAAGCUAGUGCUUCCAAUUAAACCUAUUGGACUAUAA